rnacentral:rRNA from 1 species
GACGAACGCUGGCGGCGUGCUUAACACAAGCAAGUCGAACGGUGAUGCUCCAGCUUGCUGGAGUGGAUCAGUGGCGAACGGGUGAGUAACACGUGAGCAACCUGCCCCAGACUCUGGAAUAAGCGCUGGAAACGGCGUCUAAUACUGGAUACGAAACUGGCCCGCAUGGGCAUGGUUUGGAAAGUUUUUCGGUUUGGGAUGGGCUCGCGGCCUAUCAGCUUGUUGGUGAGGUAAUGGCUCACCAAGGCGACGACGGGUAGCCGGCCUGAGAGGGCGACCGGCCACACUGGGACUGAGACACGGCCCAGACUCCUACGGGAGGCAGCAGUGGGGAAUAUUGCACAAUGGGCGAAAGCCUGAUGCAGCGACGCCGCGUGAGGGAUGACGGCCUUCGGGUUGUAAACCUCUUUCAGCAGGGAAGAAGCGAAAGUGACGGUACCUGCAGAAGAAGCACCGGCUAACUACGUG